AAUAGAUACCCAGGUAGUCCACGCCGUAAACGAUGAGUGCUAAGUGUUAGAGGGUUUCCGCCCUUUAGUGCUGAAGUUAACGCAUUAAGCACUCCGCCUGGGGAGUACGGCCGCAAGGCUGAAACUCAAAGGAAUUGACGGGGGCCCGCACAAGCGGUGGAGCAUGUGGUUUAAUUCGAAGCAACGCGAAGAACCUUACCAGGUCUUGACAUCCUCUGACAACCCUAGAGAUAGGGCUUCUCCUUCGGGAGCAGAGUGACAGGUGGUGCAUGGUUGUCGUCAGCUCGUGUCGUGAGAUGUUGGGUUAAGUCCCGCAACGAGCGCAACCCUUGAUCUUAGUUGCCAUCAUUCAGUUGGGCACUCUAAGGUGACUGCCGGUGACAAACCGGAGGAAGGUGGGGAUGACGUCAAAUCAUCAUGCCCCUUAUGACCUGGGCUACACACGUGCUACAAUGGACGGUACAAAGAGCUGCAAGACCGCGAGGUGGAGCUAAUCUCAUAAAAACCGUUCUCAGUUCGGAUUGUAGG
rnacentral:rRNA from 1 species